AUUGAACGCUGGCGGCAGGCCUAACACAUGCAAGUCGAGCGGAUGAAGCGAGCUUGCUCCUGGAUUCAGCGGCGGACGGGUGAGUAAUGCCUAGGAAUCUGCCUGGUAGUGGGGGAUAACGUCCGGAAACGGGCGCUAAUACCGCAUACGUCCUGAGGGAGCAAGUGGGGGGUCUUCGGACCUCACGCUAUCAGAUGAGCCUAGGUCGGAUUAGCUAGUUGGUGGGGUAAAGGCCUACCAAGGCGAGGAUCCGUAACUGGUCUGAGAGGAUGAUCAGUCACACUGGAAGUGAGACACGGUCCAGACUCCUGCGGGAGGCAGCAGUGUGGAAUAUUAGACAAUGGGCGGGAGCCUGAUCCAGCCAUGCCGCGUGUGUUAAGAAGGUCUUCGGAGUGUAAAGCACGCUAAGUUGGGGGGAAGGGCAGUAAGUUAAUACCUUGCUGUAUUGACGUUACCAGCAGAAGAAGCACCGGCUAACUUCGUG
rnacentral:rRNA from 1 species